rnacentral:rRNA from 1 species
GUGCCAGCAGCCGCGGUAAGACAGAGGGGGCAAGCGUUGCUCGGAAUUACUGGGCGUAAAGGGCGCGUAGGCGGGAUGGCAAGUCGGUCGUGAAAUCCUUCGGCUCAACCGAAGAACGUCGAUCGAUACUGCUGUUCUUGAGGGUUGCAGAGGAGACUGGAAUUCCCGGUGUAGCGGUGAAAUGUGUAGAGAUCGGGAGGAACACCGGUGGCGAAGGCGGGUCUCUGGGCAAUUCCUGACGCUGAGGCGCGAAAGCGUGGGGAGCAAACGGGAUUAGAUACCCCGGUAGUCC